rnacentral:rRNA from 1 species
AACGAACGCUGGCGGCAGGCUUAACACAUGCAAGUCGAGCGCCCCGCAAGGGGAGCGGCAGACGGGUGAGUAACGCGUGGAACGUGCCCUUUGGUUCGGAACAACUCCGGGAAACUGGAGCUAAUACCGGAUAAGCCCUUCGGGGGAAAGAUUUAUCGCCAAAGGAUCGGCCCGCGUCUGAUUAGCUAGUUGGUGAGGUAAUGGCUCACCAAGGCGACGAUCAGUAGCUGGUCUGAGAGGAUGAUCAGCCACACUGGGACUGAGACACGACCCAGACUCCUACGGGAGGCAGCAGUGGGGAAUAUUGGACAAUGGGCGCAAGCCUGAUCCAGCCAUGCCGCGUGAGUGAUGAAGGCCUUAGGUGUAAAGCUCUUUGUCCGGGAAGAUAAUGACUGUACC